rnacentral:rRNA from 1 species
GAUGAAUGGCCUGACGGGAAUCUAUCUUUUUUUUUGCUUAGUAAUUUGAAUUUAGAGUUAAAGUUAAAAUACUUUAGUUGUGUAAAGUGACGAGAAGACCCUGUAGAGUUUGAUAUUUAAUUUGAAAUUUAAGUUUUUUGUUGGGGUGACAUGGAAUAAACUUUCUAUAUUUUUUUCCAUAUUGAGUGGCUGAAAGAUCCUAAAUUUUAGAUAAGAAGAUGAAGCUACCUUAGGGAUAACAGCAUAAUUUUUUUUGAAAGUUCUUAUUUGUGGAAAAGAUUAUGACCUCGAUGUUGAAUUAAGAUAAUAUUUUGGUGCAGAAUUUAAAAUAUAUAGUCUGUUCGACUUUAAUUUUUACAUGAUUUGAGUUCAGACCGGCGUGAGCCAGGUUGGUUUCUAUCUUUUAUUAUUA